GAAACCCUGACAACAAAUUAGGCUAAAUCAGCUUUAUGACAUUAUAAACCCAUACAAGCACUGUCAAACACCCAGUGCCUGGGGACAAAUUGAGUUUAAAGCCAACUGGUAUGGGUUGUAACAGUAGACCAGACCUGCAGCCAUGUGGCUGCAUCUUGCCCCAGUCCCUUGGAGGAGUAACUGCAACUUCUUCUUUCUGAAGCGGGGCUGAGGAAAACCAGAGCAGGCUCCAAUUAUCCUAACAUCCCUCUCUGCCACUCCAGGACAGCCUCCUCAGCUUUACAGGCCCAGGAUGGGCAGUCUCCCUGGAACUGCUACUUGCCACCAACAUCCCCAGAGACUGUGACACAGGCUGGAGCCACUCCCAUGGAAACGGAUAAGCAGAGCAGACUGGGCUCACCCACCCUGCUGCCUGGCUUUUCCAUUGCUUAAACUGCAGGGACAGGGGGAAUAUUCUCAAAAGCAUCGUCCCAGGAAGGCUUAGGGCAGCUCACACUCCCUUAUCCUGCUGCCAUUUCAUGCAACCCCAGGCUUCAAAGCUGUGCCAUGGGAAGAGGAGCCACACAAUGGCACCUCUCCUGCAGCUGAACUCUGUUGGGAAAAUCAUGCUAAGUAGGGACCAUUUGCCUCCCACCACCCUUGUGUGUGAAGCACAAGUCCUACAUCCCAUCAGCACGGGGGAGAAGCAGCCGUAGAACAAAGGCUACAUUUUAACUGCUUUGAAACUUCUGUAUGAGGAGAAGGACAUGGAACUGCAUCAUGAUAUAUGGAGCUUCCAUUUCUGGUGGCUGUUAAUGGAGACAUUAAUACCUCUCGUGAAGUUGAAGGGAUCCUGCAUUAAAAUAGACAACAUUCUACAGCUGACAAAAGAAGACUGGGGAAAAUUGGACCCACUUCUGAAUGAGACAGGGGACCUCACUACAUAGAAUAUGGAAAAGGCUGAAGUACUGACUACCAGCUUUGCUCCAGUAUACCCAUAUUUCAAUUCUCUCAAUUUCAACUUCAAUUAAAACAAAGACAUGAACAAAGAAACUUUUAUCUGACCAGGUUUUAAACUCAAGAUUUUAGUCAUCCCCACACAGGGCUUUAUUUUUCCCCUACAGAAAUACUUGAGAUACUCAAAUUUGGAAUUUUUUAUCAUGUUCAGGGCUUACAUCAUCACAUGCAAAGAUUCACACAAAACUAUCAGAGCUAUACAGAAGGUUAACAUGGCUUUUUGCAAAUUAUAUCCCUAACUGCAGAGGAAGAAGAUAUUCUACAAAUACAAUGAGUAAUCAGAUAAACAUCUUUGUGCCCAUGUCUACCACCUGAAAUAAAAAAUGGUGUGUCUUUAUCCAAAGCAACAAGAAAGGGGAAGACGCUCCAUCCUUCAAAGCAACAUUUGUAACAUGAUACUGCUGUCUUUCACUGUCAUUCCUACGCAUGUGUGAAAAAGUCCCUACAAUACGUAUACUGCCACAGUCUACUCUCCAGCCUUCUUCAAUUCCACUAUUGCAUUGCUGUUCUGCACAAAUAAUUUUUAGAGCUGAUAAUCCUCCCAGGCAGCAGUAUUUUAAUUUCCAAUAGUCCCAUGAUGCACUGAGGAGUUACGGCACUGCCUUCCAAGAUGACCAAAAGUUACAGAACCAGAUAAACAGAUGAAUUCAUGUUGAUAAAAAUGCAACUUGGAGAAACAAAGAGACUAAAUCAUAUUUUCUUGUAUAUAAAAUAAAUACCAAAAAGAUACUAAGUUUGUUCUGAGAGAGACCAGAUGCAAAAUGCUUCUGGACUACUGGUACUGCCAACUUCCAGUUAUCAUCAUCUGCCAGUGACGGCUGUGAGGUUGCCAUUAGCCCAAUCCAAGUUCCUUCUCAGACACUGGCUGAUUGCUGAUAACAGUCACUGAAACAAGAGACUUCUGUAUCACAGAAAUAAAAAAGCUUGAAGUGUACAAAGUUCAAACUUACUGCCAUUAACUGCUUUGAUUUUAAAUACUUUGUGUCUUUAUCUGAACACAGCAUAAACAGUUUUUAUCACGUUCUUCCCCUCAGUGGUUAUAUGAGAAUUCUGUAAGCUGUAAGUUGCAAAAUGAGAUAUACAAAACUAAAUAGCUGAAUAACUUGAUAAGUCCUUAUUUUGAAAGCAGAGAACAACCUAAGUUCAAACAUGAAUUGUUUAGAUGAACAAAAUUGGAAUGACCUUACCCUUUUCAUUAAAACCUCCUUAUAUCAGAUGUUUCCAUGAACUGUCAAAUGCCAGAUCAGACAGCCACCCUUGCCGAUGCAGAGCACACUCACACAUCCACAUGGCAUCAAACAGAACAGACAGUUACAACAAUGAACAAACUAUUUUAUUUUUCUUGCUAGAUAAGAACAUCCCACUGAAAAUAAAGAAUAAAAAAUAUAUUCUGCUGUAAGACUCUGAAUGCUUGAAUCUCACGCUACAGCACAUGGAGAAAUUCUGGUACAGCAACAUCACAGUUAUCUUUGUGCACACGGGUGCACAGAAACCCUUGAACAAAUAUUUAUACCCAUUAAUAGUGCCAUGUACAAAAAUGUCACUCCAUAAGACCAAACAGAAAAUUUAAACAUCUUUGUUUUUUUUAUAUGCCAGGGCAAUGUAAAAAAGGAAAACUGUUUACAGUCAAUUACUUCCACCUAAAUUGUAUGAGAUCUUUUUAUGCUGAAGAGCCCAAAAUCAGCAUAGAAGAAGUAGUAUACAAUUAUAUAUAUGUAUAAACAAGACACUGAACACAUGGUGCAUGAUGUUUUCCUUAAUAUGUAAUUUUUGGUGUAACUAUAUGAAGUUAAGUCAUUACUUUUUUAACACCAAGAGAAAAUAUUGUUUCUUCAAUCAAUGCUCUGACCUUUUCUUACUAUAAAGAGCAUGCCUGUAUUAUUCAUCUAAGUAUACAUGCACCACAAAAGAUAUGCAAAACAAAUCGAUACAGAUAAACUUUAGUGUCAAAUGUCUAAUGAUGUAAUAACAAAAACAAUUCUCAGGGCCCAAAUGACUUUCUGAAUUGAAAUUGCAUUGCAGUCACUUAAAAUAACAAAAUGCUUGGACUUGUAGGUCACUACAAGAAAAAUUCACUGUUUUCUAGCAGUACCUCUGCUGAAAUCUGGUAAGUAUCAAUCUAUGGGUAAAGAAAGUAACUUUCAAAAAAGGAAUUUGUAAAAAAUACAUUUAUACUAUACGCUUUCAUAUAAAAAGGCAUUAAGAAAUAUAAUAAAUCCUACCAUUUUAGGACUACACCUUCCCUAACAAACAGUUUUUAUCACUUGACUAUUACAUAUAGUACAUUCAGUAUCCUAAGCAGAAAGUAUAUUUUUUUUGUCCCUGAUGUAUUUUACAACUGGCAGUGACAACAAAAUGUUUUAUUAUCACCACUCAUUCUUGCAGCUUAUACAAACAGCACCAAUUUUACCCAAAAAAAGGUUUAUCAGUUACAUAGUAGCACUUCCUCACAGGAAAUAUAAACCCCAAACAUUGGAACCAAAUGUGUCUUUCCAAAUAUAUAUCAGAAUAUAUGUCUCAGAGUUAAGGGAUGAAUAACCAGGAUUAUUGCAUAGUACAGGGAUCUUGCCUGUAUGAAUAAAGACACCUUUUGAUUGUUUGUCACCUUCUGACUCAAGAACAAAUUAAACAGGUGCUAAUGAAAGUAAUAUACAAGUAAAUGUACUGGUAAAAAAAAAA